rnacentral:rRNA from 1 species
GUAGGGAAUAUUGCGCAAUGGAGGCAACUCUGACGCAGCCAUGCCGCGUGCAGGAAGAAGGCGCUACGCGUUGUAAACUGCUUUUAACCGGGAAGAAACCCCAGGACGUGUCCUGGGUUGACGGUACCGGAGGAAUAAGCACCGGCUAACUUCGUGCCAGCAGCCGCGGUAAUACGAAGGGUGCAAGCGUUAUCCGGAUUCAUUGGGUUUAAAGGGUGCGUAGGCGGAGCGUUAAGUCAGUGGUGAAAUCCUGCAGCUUAACUGUAGACUUGCCAUUGAUACUGGCGCUCUUGAGUGCGCUUGAAGUGGGCGGAAUGUGCCGUGUAGCGGUGAAAUGCUUAGAUAUGGCACAGAACACCAAUUGCGAAGGCAGCUCACUAAGGCGAUACUGACGCUGAGGCACGAAAGCGUGGGGAUCGAACAGGAUUAGAAACCCCAGUAGUCC